rnacentral:rRNA from 1 species
CCCUUAGAUGUCCGGGGCUGCACGCGCGCUACACUGACUGGCUCAGCGUGUGCCUACCCUACGCCGGCAGGCGCGGGUAACCCGUUGAACCCCAUUCGUGAUGGGGAUCGGGGAUUGCAAUUAUUCCCCAUGAACGAGGAAUUCCCAGUAAGUGCGGGUCAUAAGCUUGCGUUGAUUAAGUCCCUGCCCUUUGUACACACCGCCCGUCGCUCCUACCGAUUGGGUGUGCUGGUGAAAUGUUCGGAUCGGCCGUUUGUCGCGGUUUCCGCGUCAUGUGGCUGAGAAGUUCAUUAAACCCUCCCACCUAGAGGAAGGAGAAGUCGUAACA